GAACAGAGUGCCUAGCUCAGCAAAUAUUUUCUGAGUAGUGCUUAAAUGAGCCAGGAGCAAUAACAGAAAUUCUAUUUUCAACUCAGAUCCUGAAUCUGAGAUGACUAAACUCCCACAACGGGAUUUCAACCGCCUUCCUAUCAUUGUAGCUUGCAGAGUAAAGCUGAUUAUUUCAAAGUGAUCAUUGGCAGAAUGAAAGAUUUGGCAGGGAGGGAGGAAGUAAGGGAAGGAAAGAGAGAGAGAGAGAGAGAGAGACAGAGAGAGAGACAGACAGAGACUGAGUUGCCAAGCCAAAUAAACAGAAAACCCAUUCCAGGAUUUUCAGUAUGGAGGAACUAGAAGUUGAUGAUAGGACUGACAGAGCCUCCUCAAAGUUGUACAUAUUGAUGCUCAAAUUAAUAAUAAAUGUGCCAUGGUACAGAGCUCCUGUAGGAUAAAGACCCCUUGCCUGAGAAGCUCCUGCCUGAGCAUCCCGCUUAAGAUUGCUAUGUUCCAAGUGGAAAAGCUGGGAGCAGAAUCAGCUAGAAAAUUGUUCAGACUCAGCUUGUCUGGUAUUGGUCGGUAAGUGCUACAUAUUUACUUUAUUUGUUUUCAGUUUUCU
rnacentral:lncRNA from 1 species